CAAAAUCCCACCAGGACCACCCAAAAUCCCACUCUGGUCUUCAUCCUGAAGUUCUCCAGAAGGUUCCUCAAGCCCAAAUUCCACCAAAAACCCCCAAAUUCCACCCAGGACCACCCAAAAUCCCACCCUGAUCUUCAUCCUGAUGUUCUCCAGAAGGUUCCUCACCAUCCUGAUGUUCUCCAGAAGGUUCCUCAAGCCCAAAUUCCACCAAAAACCCCCAAAAUUUCACCCAAAAUCCCACCAGGACCACCCAAAGUCCCACCAGGACCACCCAAAAUCCACCCUGGUCUUCAUCCUGAUGUUCUCCAGAAGGUUCCUCACCAUCCUGAUGUUCUCCAGAAGGUUCCUCAAGCCCAAAUUCCACCAAAAACCC